ensembl:lncRNA
AUGAGGCUUUGUAAACUUUAAAGCAGUGUUCAUGCAUUCAUUUUUAUUCAUUCAACAAGCUUUAUGGCACUGUUAGGCACUUUCAAAAAGAAAAGAAACAAACAAAAGAUGCCCUCAAGUAGCUUACAUUCAUAAGAGGACGGAGAUCACGUAUGCAAAUGAGUAACUACAAAAGGUGUAUAAGGUCAUUUGGGCAGGGAGAUGGGAAUUAGCAAGCAGGGGGAUCUGGACGUGUCAGUCUAACAGGAACUAAACUUUGGGAAAAGGAGUGAUGAGCCUUGGAAGGCAGAAGUUACAGGCAGGCAAAAGUUGCAUUGUGAAGGGCUUUAAAUGCCAAAGAGUAGAAUUUGCAUGUUAUCCUCGAGGCAGUAAGGAAGCAUUAGAACAUCUUACAUAUGUAUAAAUCUGUUGCUAUGAUUGUUAUUGUUACUGUUAUUAUCAAGGUAAAAUAAUAAUAACAGUGCUUUAGGAUCACCCACUACAUCUACAAAAGCCUUAGGGGUGAGGAAACCUGGUUUUUAUACCAGAACAAUUUGAAACAAGUUAUUGUUACUGUUGUUUUAAAAUAUAUUUAAAUUAGGUUGCUGCCAGACUCCCUCCCUUCCCUUCUUUCUUCCUCAGUUCUAGGAUUAAAGGAUUGGGGGCUAGGUUGGACAGUGGAAUCAAGCAAUAGGAUAUCUAUUAUGUGCCCGCUGUGGCAUUCAGUGACAAAAGUGAAAUAGUCUCUGUCCUCAGGAAUGUUAUAUUCAGUUCGAAAUCCAUUCUCCUGUUACCAGAGUCAGAAUUAGGUGAAUAUUCCUUCGGUGCCUACAGUAUGUCAUUUUUUUUUCAUCAGUACCAACUCACUUUAUUGGGGUGUAAAUGGUGGUAGUUUUUUGGUACAGAUUAUGAAAAGGUCAGAUAACCAAAAUAUGCAUGCACUGAAAGACAGUAGGAGUCACUCCCACAGUUCCCAAGUGUGGGGGAAGCCAGGUGUGGCUUAGCUCUCGUUGUCACUGUCUCCAAGGGUGUGCUUGUCAAAAAGAUAUUCCGCCAUGCCAGAAUCGGGGGCCCCCAUUUUGCGCAGGUUGGAAAUCACAUAAAUGUGGGUCGUUCUUGUCAGUUGCCAGCUUGUGCAAUUCCAGUAAAGACUCAUUGACAUUUUUUUCCAAGUGCAGAGCACGCUCCAUUGCGUCCAGCCCACUCUCCCAGUCAUCUCGGUCUGGUUUCUUGAUGUCUUGCAGGAAGAUCCGACCACCUCGCUGGUUUUGCAGUUUCAUCAGCUUCUCAGCAUGCUCCCUCUCCUUGUGGGAUUGGUGUAGGAAAUAUUUGCAAAGUUCUUCAAUGCCACAUCAUCUUGGUCGAAGUAGUAAGACAUGGACAGGUAGACGUAGGAGGCGUAGAGCUCCAGGUUGAUCUUCCGGUUGAUGGCGGCCUCCGAGUCCUGGUGGUAAUUCUGUAGCACCU